GGGGGGGGGGGGGGGGGGGGGGUGGCACCGAAGAGAAAAGGGUUGAGUAAACAAAAUUUUGAGUGAGUAAAAGGUUGGGUAAAUGAAAAACAAAACAACUCAAGGGUUGGGUAAUAAAAAUUUAUUGUCAUUUCCAAAGCAUGACUCACUCAAAUAUUGAAGACUAAAAAGCAAUGUCAACAGUCAUAUGUCAAUACAAUAUGUAAAUCAAUCAAUCAAUCAGAGUCACUAUCUUGAUCAUUUUCCGAUUUGUCAGGAGGCAAAUGGUGUCUCCAAAGAAAGUACAUGUGCAGACAACAUGAAACUUUAGACUGCAGAAAAUUGCACAAGCAGUUAUCAAACUCAUGUCACAGAAGUGGUAAAGGACAUGUGUGACAACUGAAUGGUAUCCUUUUGUAAAGUUUUUGGCCAGGGGUGGGU